GACGAACGCUGUCGGCGUGCUUAACACAUGCAAGUCGAACGGAAAGGCCCUGCUUUUGUGGGGUGCUCGAGUGGCGAACGGGUGAGUAACACGUGAGCAACCUGCCCUUGACUUUGGGAUAACUUCAGGAAACUGGGGCUAAUACCGGAUAGGAGCUCCUGCUGCAUGGUGGGGGUUGGAAAGUUUCGGCGGUUGGGGAUGGACUCGCGGCUUAUCAGCUUGUUGGUGGGGUAGUGGCUUACCAAGGCUUUGACGGGUAGCCGGCCUGAGAGGGUGACCGGCCACAUUGGGACUGAGAUACGGCCCAGACUCCUACGGGAGGCAGCAGUGGGGAAUAUUGCACAAUGGGCGGAAGCCUGAUGCAGCAACGCCGCGUGCGGGAUGACGGCCUUCGGGUUGUAAACCGCUUUCGCCUGUGACGAAGCGUGAGUGACGGUAAUGGGUAAAGAAGCACCGGCUAACUACGUGCCAGCAGCCGCGGUGAUACGUAGGGUGCGAGCGUUGUCCGGAUUUAUUGGGCGUAAAGGGCUCGUAGGUGGUUGAUCGCGUCGGAAGUGUAAUCUUGGGGCUUAACCCUGAGCGUGCUUUCGAUACGGGUUGACUUGAGGAAGGUAGGGGAGAAUGGAAUUCCUGGUGGAGCGGUGGAAUGCGCAGAUAUCAGGAGGAACACCAGUGGCGAAGGCGGUUCUCUGGGCCUUUCCUGACGCUGAGGAGCGAAAGCGUGGGGAGCGAACAGGCUUAGAUACCCUGGUAGUCCACGCUGUAAACGGUGGGUACUAGGUGUGGGGUCCAUUCCACGGGUUCCGUGCCGUAGCUAACGCUUUAAGUACCCCGCCUGGGGAGUACGGCCGCAAGGCUAAAACUCAAAGGAAUUGACGGGGCCCCGCACAAGCGGCGGAGCAUGCGGAUUAAUUCGAUGCAACGCGUAGAACCUUACCUGGGUUUGACAUGGAUCGGGAGUGCUCAGAGAUGGGUGUGCCUCUUUUGGGGUCGGUUCACAGGUGGUGCAUGCCUGUCGUCAGCUCAUGUCGUGAGAUGUUGGGUUAAGUCCCGCAACGAGCGCAACCCUUGUUCACUGUUGCCAGCACGUUAUGGUGGGGACUCAGUGGAGACCGCCGGGGUCAACUCGGAGGAAGGUGGGGAUGACGUCAAGUCAUCAUGCCCCUUAUGUCCAGGGCUUCACGCAUGCUACAAUGGCUGGUACAGAGAGUGGCGAGCCUGUGAGGGUGAGCGAAUCUCGGAAAGCCGGUCUCAGUUCGGAUUGGGGUCUGCAACUCGACCUCAUGAAGUCGGAGUCGCUAGUAAUCGCAGAUCAGCAACGCUGCGGUGAAUACGUUCCCGGGGCU
rnacentral:rRNA from 1 species